ACCUACGGGGCGCAGCAGUGGGGAAUAUUGCACAAUGGGGGAAACCCUGAUGCAGCGACGCCGCGUGAGUGAAGAAGUAAUUCGUUAUGUAAAGCUCUAUCAGCAGGGAAGAAAAUGACGGUACCUGAGUAAGAAGCCCCGGCUAACUACGUGCCAGCAGCCGCGGUAAUACGUAGGGGGCAAGCGUUAUCCGGAAUUACUGGGUGUAAAGGGAGCGUAGACGGUGAUGCAAGUCUGGAGUGAAAGGCGGGGGCCCAACCCCCGGACUGCUCUGGAAACUGUGUAACUUGAGUGCAGGAGAGGUA
rnacentral:rRNA from 1 species